AUGACUGUCACUUUGCAGGAUGUUUCUCUGAUCACUGGACUUCCCAUCAAAGGAGAGCCUAUUUGUUUUAGCACAGAUUUUGAUGGAUGGCGUGAGAUUGUGGUUGGACUCAUAGGGAGGGAGUCGGGGGUACAUGGGAAGUCCGCCGGUGCAAGUUAUCAUUGGAUUGCUGAACACUUUGGGGAAUGCCUGGCUGAUGUGGACGAUGAAACAGUGUAGCAGUAUACCAGGGCAUACUUGUGGUAUGUAGUCAGCCGGACUCUUUUCUUUGAUGGCACUGGCGUGAACGCUUCCUUUAUAUGGCUUAAGCUAUUUGCUGGGUGGGAGCAUGGACUCAGUUGGGGUACGGCGGCGUUGGCUUAUUUGUAUCGUCAGGUAAGUAGUUUUGCUUAUAAUAUUGUGUUCACCAUGUAG
rnacentral:rRNA from 1 species